GAAAGUAAGCAAGGGCAGACGGUGGAUGCCUUGGCUCUCGGAGGCGAUGAAGGACGUGAUAAGCUGCGAUAAGCUUGGGGUAGGUGCAAAUAACCUUUGAUCCGAAGAUUUCCGAAUGGGGCAACCCGGCUGGUAGAAGGCCAGUCAUUCCGUAAGGAAGGCGAACGUGGGGAACUGAAACAUCUAAGUACCCAUAGGAGAAGAAAACAAAAGUGAUUCCGCAAGUAGUGGCGAGCGAACGCGGAACAGCCCAAACCGAUGAUGUUUAGGCAUUGUCGGGGUAGUAGGACCACGUUGUGGCAAGAGAUUAAGGAAGUAGAACGUUUUGGAACAAACGGCCGUAGACGGUGAAAGCCCGGUAUACGACUCUUUAACGAAGCCUAGUGGAAUCCUGAGUAGCGCGGAGCACGAGAAAUUCUGUGUGAAUCAGCGGGGCCCAUCCCGUAAGGCUAAAUACUCCCGAGAGACCGAUAGCGAACCAGUACUGUGAAGGAAAGGUGAAAAGCACCUCGAACAGAGGAGUGAAAUAGUCCCUGAAACCGUCUGCCUACAAGCGGUCGGAGCAACGUAAGUUGUGACGGCGUGCCUUUUGCAUAAUGAACCUACGAGUUACUUUCUCCGGCAAGGUUAAGGGCUUCAGGCCCGGAGCCGAAGCGAAAGCGAGUCUUAAUAGGGCGUGAUAGUCGGAGUGAGUAGACGCGAAACCAAGUGAUCUACCCUUGGUCAGGAUGAAGGUUGGGUAACACCAACUGGAGGUCCGAAUGGGUAUACGUUGAAAAGUGUUCCAAUGAACUGAGGGUAGGGGUGAAAGGCUAAUCAAACUUGGAGAUAGCUCGUACUCCCCGAAAUGCAUUUAGGUGCAGCCUUUAUUUAGUAUAGCAUGAGGUAGAGCGACUGAUUGGAUGCGAGGGCUUCACCGCCUAUCAAGUCCAGAUAAACUCCGAAUGCGUGCUAUAUAUUGAUAAGGAGUGAGGGCGCGGGUGCUAAGGUCCGCGUCCGAGAGGAGAAGAAUCCAGACCAUCAGCUAAGGUCCCCAAAUAACAGUUAAGUUGAACUAACGAAGUCGGACUGCAGAGACAGCUAGGAUGUUGGCUUGGAAGCAGCCAUUCAUUUAAAGAGUGCGUAACAGCUCACUAGUCGAGGAGUCCGGCGUGGAUAAUACUCGGGCAUAAACUGUUUACCGAAGCUAUGGAUGUGUAAACACAUGGUAGGGGAGCAUUCCAACGGCGUCGAAGGUGAAGGAUGACCUUUGCUGGAGCUUUUGGAAACGCAAAUGUAGGUAUAAGUAACGAUAAAGGAGGUGAGAAACCUCCUCGCCGAAAGACUAAGGUUUCCUGAUCAACGUUAAUCGGAUCAGGGUAAGUCGGGACCUAAGGUUAAGCCGAACGGCGAUACCGAUGGAAGAAUGGUUUAAUAUUCCCAUACUACUUUAUGGAGCGAUGUGGAGACGGAGAAGUGACAGUCCUGCCAUCUGACGGAAUAGGUGGUUGAAGAGUGUAGAUGUAGAUUCCUGUAGGCAAAUCCGCAGGGAGAGUCGACCUUGACAGUAUGCCGCGUGCUUGCACAAGGCAAAAUGGACGUAAUCAGGCUCCCAAGAAAAUCCGCUAAGCAUAUUCAUAAAGUACCCGUACCGUAAACGGACACACGUAGUUGGGUUGAAAAUACUGAGGCGCUCGAGUGAUUCACGGUUAAGGAACUAGGCAAAUUGACCCUGUAACUUCGGGAUAAAGGGUCCCUACUGAGAGGUAGGGCGCAGAGAAUAGGUCCAGGCAACUGUUUAACAAAAACACAUGGCUGUGCGAAAUAGAAAUAUGAAGUAUACAGCCUGACACCUGCCCGGUGCUGGAAGGUUAAGAGGAGAGCUCAUCGCAAGAGAAGGCUUGAAUUGAAGCCCCAGUAAACGGCGGCCGUAACUAUAACGGUCCUAAGGUAGCGAAAUUCCUUGUCGGGU
rnacentral:rRNA from 1 species